rnacentral:rRNA from 1 species
GACGAACGCUGGCGGCGUGCCUAACACAUGCAAGUCGAGCGGUCCGGCAUUUAACAUUGAGUAUUCAGAUGAAUCUGAGUAUUGAAUGUUAAAUGUCGGAUAGCGGCGGACGGGUGAGUAACGCGUGGGUAACCUGCCUUAUACAGGGGGAUAACACAGGGAAACUUGUGCUAAUACCGCAUAAUAUCAUUGUAUGGCAUCAUAUGGUGAUCAAAGGAGCAAUCCGGUAUAAGAUGGACCCGCGUCCAAUUAGCUAGUUGGUGGUGUAACGGACCACCAAGGCGACGAUUGGUAGCCGAACUGAGAGGUUGAUCGGCCACAUUGGGACUGAGACACGGCCCAGACUCCUACGGGAGGCAGCAGUGGGGAAUAUUGCACAAUGGGGAAACCCUGAUGCAGCAACGCCGCGUGAGUGAAGAAGGUCUUCGGAUCGUAAAACUCUGUCCUUGGUGACGAAGGAAGUGACGGUAACCAAGGAGGAAGCCCCGGCUAACU